GAUAAACGCUGGCGGCGUGCCUAAUACAUGCAAGUCGAGCGAACGGACGAGAAGCUUGCUUCUCUGAUGUUAGCGGCGGACGGGUGAGUAACACGUGGAUAACCUACCUAUAAGACUGGGAUAACUUCGGGAAACCGGAGCUAAUACCGGAUAAUAUUUUGAACCGCAUGGUUCAAAAGUGAAAGACGGUCUUGCUGUCACUUAUAGAUGGAUCCGCGCUGCAUUAGCUAGUUGGUAAGGUAACGGCUUACCAAGGCAACGAUGCAUAGCCGACCUGAGAGGGUGAUCGGCCACACUGGAACUGAGACACGGUCCAGACUCCUACGGGAGGCAGCAGUAGGGAAUCUUCCGCAAUGGGCGAAAGCCUGACGGAGCAACGCCGCGUGAGUGAUGAAGGUCUUCGGAUCGUAAAACUCUGUUAUUGGGGAAGAACAUAUGUGUAAGUAACUGUGCACAUCUUGACGGUACCUAAUCAGAAAGCCACGGCUAACUACGUGCCAGCAGCCGCGGUAAUACGUAGGUGGCAAGCGUUAUCCGGAAUUAUUGGGCGUAAAGCGCGCGUAGGCGGUUUUUUAAGUCUGAUGUGAAAGCCCACGGCUCAACCGUGGAGGGUCAUUGGAAACUGGAAAACUUGAGUGCAGAAGAGGAAAGUGGAAUUCCAUGUGUAGCGGUGAAAUGCGCAGAGAUAUGGAGGAACACCAGUGGCGAAGGCGACUUUCUGGUCUGUAACUGACGCUGAUGUGCGAAAGCGUGGGGAUCAAACAGGAUUAGAUACCCUGGUAGUCCACGCCGUAAACGAUGAGUGCUAAGUGUUAGGGGGUUUCCGCCCCUUAGUGCUGCAGCUAACGCAUUAAGCACUCCGCCUGGGGAGUACGACCGCAAGGUUGAAACUCAAAGGAAUUGACGGGGACCCGCACAAGCGGUGGAGCAUGUGGUUUAAUUCGAAGCAACGCGAAGAACCUUACCAAAUCUUGACAUCCUUUGACAACUCUAGAGAUAGAGCCUUCCCCUUCGGGGGACAAAGUGACAGGUGGUGCAUGGUUGUCGUCAGCUCGUGUCGUGAGAUGUUGGGUUAAGUCCCGCAACGAGCGCAACCCUUAAGCUUAGUUGCCAUCAUUAAGUUGGGCACUCUAAGUUGACUGCCGGUGACAAACCGGAGGAAGGUGGGGAUGACGUCAAAUCAUCAUGCCCCUUAUGAUUUGGGCUACACACGUGCUACAAUGGACAAUACAAAGGGCAGCGAAACCGCGAGGUCAAGCAAAUCCCAUAAAGUUGUUCUCAGUUCGGAUUGUAGUCUGCAACUCGACUACAUGAAGCUGGAAUCGCUAGUAAUCGUAGAUCAGCAUGCUACGGUGAAUACGUUUCCGGGUCU
rnacentral:rRNA from 1 species